GUACCUGCUUUCAAUCGAAGCCCCGGUGAACGGCAGCAGUAACUAUAACUGUUCUAUGGUAGAUAAUCGCUGCCAUAGUAAAACUUUGCUAUAUGCUGGAAAAUCCGUGUAUCUUGAACUACCAUAUUUAUGGUAACGUGUUACCAUAGAUGGGUAAAAAUGUUCCAAGUGCGGACAAUCAGCAGGAAAGACUAAAAACGAAAGGUUGGAUUGUGGGUUUCACGGAUGGUGAAGGGUGUUUCACCCUUUCUAUCAUCAGAACUCAACAUCUAAAUUGGGUUGGCAAAAAUGUCUUGGCAAAUUAAUAACCAAAAGAAACCUAAGUUUUUAGAAUCCUCAGAGACUAUACGCAGAGGGGACAUUAUUUAGAUAUAUGCUAAAGCAUAUAUCUUGUCCCAAGAUAUAGUCCGAACUCAAGAGCGAUCUUGAG
rnacentral:ncRNA from 1 species